UACAGAGGGUGCAAGCGUUGUUCGGAAUUAUUGGGCGUAAAGGGAGUGUAGGCGGUCCAUUAAGUCUUCUGUGAAAUCUACGGGCUUAGCCUGUAACGUGCAGAGGAAACUGGUGGACUUGAGUGUCGGAGAGGAUAGGGGAAUACCCAGUGUAGAGGUGAAAUUCGUAGAGAUUGGGUGGAACACCAGUGGCGAAGGCGCCUAUCUGGCUGACAACUGACGCUGAGACUCGAAAGCAUGGGGAGCAAACAGG
rnacentral:rRNA from 1 species